rnacentral:rRNA from 1 species
AUGGCGGAGGCGGCGUCGCUCUUCUCGCUCUCCGCGGCCGCCGUGGUGGAGGACGUGCUGCGGGAGCACGGCUGCCGCCUCAGCGACCGCGACCUCGCCUCGCGCAGGACGGGGGAAGCCGCGGCCAGGCGGAACGAGGCGGCGGGGUGGCUGCGACGCACCGUGGGGGCCGUCGCCGGGCGGGACCUGCCGGAGGAGCCGUCGGAGGAGGAGUUCCGCCUCGGCCUCCGCAACGGCCAGAUCCUCUGCAGCGCGCUCAACAGGGUCCACCCAGGCGCGGUCCAGAAGGUGGUCACGGCGGACUCGGUCGACGGCGCGGCGCUGUCGGCGUUCCAGUACUUCGAGAACGUGCGCAACUUCCUGGUGGCGGCGCAGGAGAUCGGCUUGCCGUGCUUCGAGGCCUCCGAUUUGGAGCAGGGAGGGAAGAACGCCAGGGUGGUGAACUGCGUGCUGGCAUUGAAGUCGUACGGAGACUGGAAGCAAUGCGGGGGCACCGGGCUGUGGAAAUACGGGGGGAACUUGAAACCCUCGGCUUCCGGCAAGUCCUUGGUGAGGAAGAACUCGGAGCCUUUCCGGAGGUGCCAAUCAAUGAACGAGGGGGAAGCGCCCUAUGAGGAUGCUGGAUUCAAUGGCGAUGCUCAUCUUGAUUGCGGUGACAUGUCGAGGUCACGUCCGCUGAAAAUGCUGGUCAGCGCGGUUUUGUCCGACAAGAGGCCAGAUGAAGUUCCACAGCUCUUAGAGUCGAUGCUGGGUAAACUCGUCGAUGAAUUCGAGAAUCGCUUGAAGAGUCAAAAUGAAUUGGUGAAAGCUGCUCUGAAAAAUGGCACAGACAGCACCAAAUGCUUCUCCAAAUCUAAGGUUCUCGUCGAGGCCACUCCUAAUUUUAGUGAGAGAAAGAUGGAUACAUCAGAGAUUUACUCCAAGCAUAAACAAACAAAAAAAGAAGCAUCAGGGAAGGUGGCACUGAAGCAACAUUCAAUUCUCCAACAGCAGUCAAAGCAUCUUGAGGAUCUUAAGGCUAAUCUUCAAACAACAAGAGCGGGUAUGGAGUUUAUACAAAUGAAGUACUCUGAGGACCUCAACAUAUUAGGAAGGCAUCUGUUUAGCCUUGCACAUGCUGCCUCCGGUUACCACAAAGUUCUUGAAGAAAAUAGAAAACUGUACAAUCAAGUGCAAGAUCUUAAAGGUAGUAUCAGGGUGUAUUGUAGGAUACGACCCUUUUUACCUGGACAAGUAAGUUCAUCCACCGUGGGCUGCAUUGAUGAUGGAAAUAUUACCAUUAUUACUCCUAAAUCUGGAAAGGAUGGACGGAAAUCGUUUAGCUUCAACAAGGUUUUCGGCCCAUCUUCAACUCAAGAUGAGGUAUUCUUAGAUACUCAGCCCCUUAUUCGCUCUGUUCUUGAUGGGUACAACGUUUGUAUCUUUGCAUACGGCCAAACUGGAUCAGGCAAGACAUUCACAAUGAGUGGACCCAAGAAUAUGACUGAGCAAACCCAAGGUGUAAACUAUCGGGCACUUGGGGACCUGUUUAACCUUGCUGAAAAAAGAAAAGGAACCUUUGUCUAUGAUAUUGCUGUGCAAAUGAUCGAGAUUUACAAUGAACAAGUCAGGGAUCUCCUCAUCAGUGAUGGUCUCAACAAAAGAUUAGAGAUUCGGAAUAAUUCUCAAAAUGGAAUUAAUGUUCCGGAUGCAAGCCUUGUCCGUGUGGCGUCUACGAUGGAUGUAAUGGAACUGAUGAACAUUGGACACAGGAAUCGCACUGUGGGUGCCACUGCGUUAAACGAUCGGAGUAGUCGUUCCCACAGUUGUUUAACUGUUCAUGUCCAAGGAAAAGAUUUGACAUCAGGGAACAUUAUCCGUGGCUGCAUGCAUUUAGUUGAUCUUGCAGGCAGCGAACGGGUUGACAAGUCAGAGGUCACCGGAGAAAGGUUAAAAGAAGCACAGCAUAUUAACAAAUCAUUGUCAGCCUUAGGAGAUGUAAUUGCUUCACUUGCCCAGAAGAAUGCUCACGUACCCUACAGGAAUAGUAAAUUAACACAACUCCUCCAAGAUUCUCUUGGAGGUCAGGCCAAAACCUUGAUGUUUGUUCAUAUAAGCCCUGAAAGUGAUGCUGUAGGAGAAACCAUAAGCACCUUGAAGUUUGCCGAGCGUGUUUCUACAGUUGAACUUGGUGCUGCUCGACUUAAUAAAGAAUCCGGAGAAGUUAAAGAGCUCAAGGAGCAGAUUUCUCGACUCAAAACAGCAUUACAAAUGAAAGAUUCAGGAUCGGAGCAAAACAUUACUCGCCACUCUGAAGCAUUAAACACGAAGAUGCCUUCUCCUGUUUUUUCAAAUAGGCGACAAGGCAGUUGUGAUUUGCUGCCUGGCCAAGCUAACUUCAGGCAACCAAUGGAAGAUGUCGGAAACAUAGAGGUUAGACCCAAUCCUAAAUUGAGACAAAAGAAACCAAGCUUUGACCUUCAGGAUUUAUUAGCAUCAAAUGAUUCUCCUUCAUGGCCAGACAGCAAUUCAAGGGUGAAUUUUCAGAUGGGAGAAGAAAGGGAAACAGUUUGUGGGGACUGGGUAGAUAAGGUUGUGGUGAACAACAAUCACUCUCUUGGUGAUUGGGAAGGAGACAGCACGGCUCUUCCUGACUUCUUUUACCAAAGAUACAAUUCAGGUUUGAGAGAUGAGCAGCAAAGACCUCGGUUUUGCUCAACGAAUACCGAUGAUUCCGAUGAUAUUGACGUUGCAACGAGUGAUUCCUCAGAAUCAGAUGCACUUUGGCAGUUCAAUGUUUCAAGCAUAAACAGUUCAGUUAUUCAAAGUGGGUCAAAGAUAAAGAAACCACAAACGAAAAUAAGAGAGGCCUCAGAUACAAGAACACCAAGUCAUUCCCAAAUACCAUCGGCGUCAAGAAAAGCCUCAAAUGGACAAAACAGAUCUGGAAGGCAACCUUUAAGUGGUAGCGAUAGCAGAAGGCUCUCAUCAAACGGUAGACACUCUGGUACGAAGUAG